UCAUUCAAUCACUUGAGAUUUCAUUCUUGGUCUUUUCUCUCUCAAAGCUUCCAAGCUCAUUGCUUCCAAAGUUGGUUAAGAGUUCAAAGUUUCCAAGUUCAUUGCUUCCAAUGUUGUUCAAGUGUUAAAAGCUUCUCAGAAACACAAAAGAUCUGCAUUUUCUUCUCCUAAUCUUCUUGAUAAUCUCAAAAAGAGAAAAAGGUAAGACUUGUCUUUCAAUAUUCCAAUCUUCUACAAUCAUUUUUGUGUGUGUUACUUCAGAAGUUUGUUUUAAGAUCACCAAAGUGUGAAGGAAAGAUUUUUGAAUUUAAUCAAAAAACUUAAGGUUUGAUUUUAUAAAGUUUUCGAAAAAACUUUUAAGUGCAAAGUCUAUCUUUAAAGAUUUGAAACAAUUGAAAGUUAACUUUAAAACUUGAGAGGUUAAUUCGUAAGCUAUUGUAGCCUUACAAGUUUAUAAGAGGCUCGAGAGUUUGUAAAAGCUCUUAAAUAGGUUUGUCAAUACCUUUAGACCAGUAAAUUUCGUGAAUCAAGUUCACGAGACUGAAGUUGAUCAGUUGAAACUGAAUCAAUAUAAAUCUCUUUUGUAUUUAAACUUUUAACACAUAACAACCUAACUCACACCUCGUAAAAUCGACUUGUCUUUAUCACUCACAUUAUUUCGACUAGUUGAUUUUCGCUUUCAUCACUUACAUUUCUAUUUAAAUUCAUCGACUUGCCAUCAUAUGUUUAAAAGGUAAUUCAAAUUCAAGUUAUUUACUUCCAAGCUCUCGACCUGUUAUCAGGUGUUCUAGAGGCAUAUUUAAUUAAUUGAUAAUUACUAUUUGCUAUUGUAUCAAGCGUCUUGGAGAUAAUUUCAUUAAAACUUGUAAAAAAAAACGAAAAAAGACUAUUAACCCUCCUUAUAGUCUCAGAUCACGAUCCAACAACCCGAUCCACGAUCGGUUCAUCAGACCCGUUUAGCAUGCACCAGCUCGGCGAUGCUACUAAGUACGAUCGUCGAUAGUUCCAAAAAGGUCAGCUACCUGACUAGAACUAUCGAUGAUAGAGAUCGACAAACCAGCAAAGGUCCACGACCUCGGCGAUAGAUCAUCCCUAUCGACGAAGGAACUUGUCAAUCCAGCUGUCGGACACCAACUCUCCAAACAAACCAUAGCCCUGGAGGAAUUUUCCCCAAACAUAGGGUUGGCGCAAUAGUUAUAGAGCUUCGUCGAUGGUUUACCACCAACGAUGUAUAUCGUCGUUGACGACCCAAUUUGCCCUUACAGAAUCCUAUAAAUAGGUCUAGGGAUCCCUCCAUUAUGAGUAUCGAGAUUGCCAUUUCUGUCAAAGAGGGGAAUAAAGCGAGAAGUCUUUGCCUCAGGCACCUCUUCAUCUUCGAAUCGUUGAGUCGUCGAGUCACAACAAACGAGCAUCAGUGAUGGUUCCAUCGACGAAACCGAAUUUAUUCUUGGCAUCUAAAGUUCUUUCUAUUUGCACACUCCGCAGUUGAUAAUUAUUUCCAUCCAGUUUGUUCACCACCAUUUGGGCCAUAGUAUUUUCAUUUGCUGCUAUCUUGUAAGGAUCGUCUGAUUCUAUCAUUUUUUAGGUGAAUUCCGAUGAUGAUGAUAAAAUGGAUCCUUUUGAAUCCGAUGAUGACUCUGGAUCAAAUAUACUCUGGUUUUAAUGCUGAUGAGGGUUGAAUCCGAUCAGUGCCCGGAGACGUUUUAAACAAGCGUCAAACCGAAAAUCGAAAAUCAGCUCAAACUCUUCAGUUGCUCUUCUCUGGUUGCUGAAGACGUAAACAAGUUCGGAAUAAUAUAUCACCAAAUACCAUAAAAUAUUUUCAUGAGCUUUGCUGAUAUAAAAGAAUUGUUGAGCUCCUGUGUUCACCAACGUUGAUCGUCG
rnacentral:lncRNA from 1 species